GUGGGGGGUGGGGGGGAGAAGAGCGACGAGCGACGCGCACCCAGAGUUCGGCAGCGCGAUCGCGACAGUCCCGUGGGCCGGAGAGGCGAGCCCUACCCCGAUGUAACCUCCCUACCCAGCCCCGGCCCCUGCACGAGGGGGU
rnacentral:lncRNA from 1 species